UACGUAGGGGGCUAGCGUUGUCCGGAAUCAUUGGGCGUAAAGCGCGUGUAGGCGGCCCGGUAAGUCCGCUGUGAAAGUCGGGGGCUCAACCCUCGGAUGCCGGUGGAUACUGUCGGGCUAGAGUACGGAAGAGGCGAGUGGAAUUCCUGGUGUAGCGGUGAAAUGCGCAGAUAUCAGGAGGAACACCAAUUGCGAAGGCAGCUCGCUGGGACGUUACUGACGCUGAGACGCGAAAGCGUGGGGAGCGAACAGG
rnacentral:rRNA from 1 species